rnacentral:rRNA from 1 species
GGCAGCCGCCGCGGGAACACCGGCGGCCCGAGUGGUGAUCGUGAUUAUUGGGUCUAAAGGGUCCGUAGCCGGUUGGUCAGUCCUCCGGGAAAUCUGAUAGCUCAACUAUUAGGCUUUCGGGGGAUACUGCCAGACUUGGAACCGGGAGAGGUAAGAGGUACUACAGGGGUAGGAGUGAAAUCUUGUAAUCCCUGUGGGACCACCUGUGGCGAAGGCGUCUUACCAGAACGGGUUCGACGGUGAGGGACGAAAGCUGGGGGCACGAACCGGAUUAGAUACCCGGGUAGUCCCAGCCGUAAACGAUGCUCGCUAGGUGUCAGGCAUGGCGCGACCGUGUCUGGUGCCGCAGGGAAGCCGUGAAGCGAGCCACCUGGGAAGUACGGCCGCAAGGCUGAAACUUAAAGGAAUUGGCGGGGGAGCACAACAACGGGUGGAGCCCGCGGUUUAAUUGGACUCAACGCCGGACAACUCACCGGGGGCGACAGCAAUAUGUAGGCCAAGCUGAAGACUUUGCCUGAAUCGCUGAGAGGUGGUGCAUGG